AACGUGGCAUUACCCACCUUCUCCAUCCACAACUGAUAUGUACACGCAAACAGUGCUCAUGACCGCUUCCCGAAAGGUCCGAACGAUUCCUAUUGCCUGAGUUGCCCUAUCUAACUAGUCCGUGUCUAGUCCCAAUCUUCCAGCACAAUGCCAUCAUGUUCCCAAUUACGCAAUGCUGCGCAGGGUCUUGGAGCUGCACUUCCAGUUGGCGGCAAUGAUGGCGGACUGCGGGGCACCCAGCUCGCUGGAGCGGCGGCCCAUAGCCGACAGCACGCCCUUCACCGCGGCGGCCACCUUCUUGUAGCUCAGCUUGGAGGCGGUGAGCUGGUGGUGCAGCUCGGUCACGGCGGAGGCCUUGAAGUUGCGCAGCUUGAGCAUAGGCUCCAGGUACGCCCAGUGCACGGCGAUCAUGGUCUGUGGCAAGUAAGCAGUGAUUUGAAGUGUACAAGGGGUCAAGGAAAUGAAGAUGGAUGCUGAGUGAGGGGUAGGUGUGCUGGGGAUGGGGUCCAUCUGUGUGGCGGCGGUGUGCGCACUCACACAGCAGGCAGGAUGGCAGUACCACAGCUAACAGUUCGCCCGACCCAAUUUGUGAGCCCUCUUCGCUCCCAAGCCACCGAGCCUCCCGUCACUCCUUCCGCCCAUCCACCAACCUUGGCAUCCUCCACCUCGGCGGCGGGGCGCUUGCAGGCGGCGGCGGCGUCAGCGGUGUACGCGGCCACGGACACGCCCUGCAGGCCCAGCAGGGUCAGCAGUCGGACCUCGUUCGUGCGCGCGGCGUCGUAGGCUUGGAUGUUCAGGGUAGCUGCAGAUGCGCGGAGAGGCAGCAGCGCAGGAGCGGGACGGUGGUGCGUGGUCAGAUGUUGAGGGCGCGAAGGGUGCUCGGGUACCUAGGUAGGCUCCGCACUCGCCAUCAGCUUUGCUGCGACGUCCCAUCCCGCCCAUCCGUGCAUGGGACCAGCCCUUGCGUACUGUGGCACCACGCGCACCCGCCCGCGUGCGGGUAACACUUCCAAGCAUGUUACUCCUCCCAAGCUAUGCAGCUCUAACUCACACAGGCGGGCGGCGGCCAGCAUCUCAUUGACGGUGUUGAUCAUGGCGGUGUUGACAUAGCUCUUGCCGAGGAAGGUGGUGCCCAUGGCGGCGCCCAGGGAGGAGGCCCAGCCGGACAGGGUGCCGCAGUUGUUGGCGGCGCCGCCGGCCCACAGCGCCCAGGCCUCAUCCACGUUGUGGGGUGCGCCUGGGGCGGGCGGGGACAGUAAGGUGAACGCUUAUGUCAGUUGCACCACGGGGCGCAGGUGAAGUAGCAAAAUACAUAAAUCCCGCGCACUGCUGAGCACCCAUCCACGCACUGCUGAGCGCUUGACAGCGAGCACCGUGCUGCGAUGCCGCAAACAACGCACCCGAGGCGUCAGAAACCAGGUUGGUGAGGUUGCCGGUGCCGUCAGCCAGGUAGGUCUUGAUCUUGUUGUAGGCCUCAUCCACCUCGUGCAGGUGGUACUUGAGCGUGCCCACCUGGAUCAGACCGGCGGCCAGGGUGGCCUUGCCGUCGGCCAGGGCAGCCCUGCGGGGGAUUAGAAGGGUGAGCGAGCGGAGCGGGCAGGGGCGUGAUUGGGGGUUGAGCCAGAUCACGGACGGAGUCAAGGGUUCCGCCAGCAAGCUGCGCAGCUGGGUUUUGAGGCAGAUCUCGGACGGGGUCAGGGGACCCGCAAGCAAAUAGAGGAAAUCUCAUCGAUGCAGGCAGCGAUGUGACAGCGAGCAGGGUGCGUGUUCUCAAUGUACCUCCACUCAUUAUUUUCAUCAUUAUUUUCAGUGGAGCGAGGCUACCCGUCAGCCGGCGGCUUACCGGAUGGCGGCGUCCAGGGAGGACGUGUCCUUGCCGGCCAGGAUGGAGUCGUGCAGCGGCUCCACGGAGCCGUUGGCGGUGAUGUACGAGGCGAAGCGCUGCGGAGGAGGCAGGGCGCGGGGAUGACGUGCGGGAAGACGUGAGGCCAAGGCCCAAAGGCAGGGGUAGGAAAGGGUUCCAAACCAUGCAAGCGCCCCCGCAACCCACGGCUGAAACGGCUGCAUGGGCAGGCGGUAGGUAAAGGCAUGAUCACCCAUCAGGGACGGACGCAAUCGAUCGCUUACGAAGAAGGUGCGGCGCGCCAGGCCAGAGAACGAGUUCUUGCCAGUAGAGUAGAUGGACAGAGCCUCGGUGAAGUUGCCAGCAGCCAUGGCGGCCUGCAUGUGCGUGUGGUGGCGCGGGGUAAAGGGAAAUAGUGACUUCAUGGCGACUGACAUUCUGACCAGUUACCGUAUGUAGUGGUGGCAGGAAGUGCAUUAGGCCGCCCUCAGUCUGCCCGCCGCCGCCGCCGCCGGCUUCUCGCCCGUGUGCACACUUUAAACCCCUGAUCGCUGCCUG
rnacentral:lncRNA from 1 species